rnacentral:lncRNA from 1 species
ACCUGUCUCAAUUUACAAUUUGAAAUUUGGGCUGAAGAAAAUAAUUUUUCUUCUUAAAGAACAACAUGAUGAUCAUAAGAAAGGAUAAAAGAUCAAAAAAAACUAAAUUCUAUUUUUAGGCACAAAAUCUUCCGAAAUUUAUAAUCAAAUAUUUUAAUUGGUGUGCACUGCAGUGGUUUCACAAUGUGCCAUUGUAUCUGUGGAGUGUAGAACAUGUAUUAGAAUAAAGACUAUAGAGGGCAAAGUGGGUAGGUGGCAAACCUGACACCUGUAGAAGAUUUUUCUCUAUCGUCGCAGCUUAAACGCCGAAAGAAGCAGCCUUUAACUCGAUGAUCAAAUUAACCAAAUGGUAGCCUAGAUGAUCGAACGUCCGGUUGGAUUAAAAAAGAAAUUGAGCAUUCAAAAACCUCUCCAUAUUACGAAGACCGAAGGCCGUAAGAGCAUUGUCGAUAAAAGGCAGAUGAAACUAUGAGUCCUCCAAACCCUAGAUAUGAUUGCCGAUUUGCCGACGAGAAAUUGAAUACGAAAAUCUUAUUCGAUUUAUUAGUUAAUCGUUAUUCUUUUUCGUUACUAAAUAUUAACUUAUUAUUUUAUUUGUAAAUAAUAUUAUUAGAAACCAUGGGUACGAC